UGGGGGAUAUUGCACAAUGGAGGAAACUCUGAUGCAGCGAUGCCGCGUGGGGGAAGAAGGUUUUCGGAUUGUAAACCCCUGUCUUCGGGGACGAUAAUGACGGUACCCGAGGAGGAAGCUCCGGCUAACUACGUGCCAGCAGCCGCGGUAAUACGUAGGGAGCGAGCGUUGUCCGGAAUUACUGGGUGUAAAGGGAGUGUAGGCGGGACAGUAAGUCAGGUGUGAAAUUUAUGGGCUCAACCCAUAACCUGCAUUUGAAACUACUGUUCUUGAGUGAAGUAGAGGUUGGCGGAAUUCCUAGUGUAGCGGUGAAAUGCGUAGAUAUUAGGAGGAACAUCAGUGGCGAAGGCGGCCAACUGGGCUUUUACUGACGCUGAGGCUCGAAAGCGUGGGGAGCAAACAGG
rnacentral:rRNA from 2 species